rnacentral:rRNA from 1 species
UACAGAGGUGGCAAGCGUUGUUCGGAAUGACUGGGCGUAAAGGGCGCGUAGGCGGUCCGAUAAGUCCCGUGUGAAAUCCCUCGGCUCAACUGAGGAAUGGCACGGGAAACUGACGGGCUUGAGUUCGGGAGAGGGAAGCGGAAUUCCGGGUGUAGCGGUGAAAUGCGUAGAUAUCCGGAGGAACACCGGUGGCGAAGGCGGCUUCCUGGACCGACACUGACGCUGAGGCGCGAAAGCUAGGGGAGCAAACGGG